GGUCCUUUAGCUCAAUCGGUAGAGCUUUGUACUUAUGAGGUUACCUUUAUUAGGCCUGUGCGAUGCAAGGGUCCCGAGUUCGAUUCUCGGAAGGACCA